rnacentral:tRNA from 1 species
GUAAAUAUAGUUUAAAAAAAACGCUAGAUUGUGAAUCUAAUAAUAGAAGCCCACACCUUCUUAUUUACC